rnacentral:miRNA from 1 species
AUGUUGAUCCUAUUCCCUCU